CUAGGUCCCAGUUCAGAUUGCAGGCUGCAACCCGCCUGCAUGAAGUCGGAAUUGCUAGUAAUCGCGGAUCAGCAUGCCGCGGUGAAUACGUUCCCGGGCCUUGUACACACCGCCCGUCACACCAUGGGAGCCGGUAAUACCCGAAGUCAAUAGUCCAACCACGUGAGGACGCUGCCGAAGGUAGGAUUGGCGACUGGGGUGAAGUCGUAACAAGGUAAC
rnacentral:rRNA from 1 species